rnacentral:lncRNA from 1 species
UACACAAUAGUUUAAAAAGUACUCCUACAAUAGUUCAAUAUAUUCUAGCAAUGAAUAUAUUUCACAAAAUCAAAUAUAAUGUAUUCAAACUUUUACAAUAGUUCAAAAACUCUUCAUCAUCCACUUCAAUGAGAUCAAAUUGACUUGUGGCGACCCUUCAAAUUUGAUUACCUCCAUUCCCUACACAUUUAAAAUGAAAUUAACAAUCAAAACAAACCAUGUACAACAAAUCAGAUUGCAGCAGUUAUAGAAGAGGCGAGAAGUUUUGUUGGAGUGGAGGGACUUGUAUAGUAAAAGUAUUAAGUUAUUAUAACCCAAAAAUUUACUGAGAAAUGAUAUCUAUGAUCAAAUGUUAGCAGGGAAAUGGUAUCUAUUUUAGGUAUUCUUGUUAACAGAAUGAAGUGGACAAAAAUGGAGAAAUGAACUAGGCUAUAAAUAACAAAGAAGAUUGGUCCCCUUAACAUACCACACUCACUUUGUAACAUCCCUUGAAAAUUCUCUACAAUAAGGGAUUAGGAUAUGUUCCCUAAAGCAAUUCAAUGUUCAUCUCCACAAAAUGUGUAACCAACUAGCCAAAAUUAGAGGUCAAUUUCAUAUUGUGGCCUAAAUAAUUAUCCUCAAUCCAGACUCAACUUCAUAGUUGGCAACUUAAAGCAUGCAUUAGUGAUUCUAAUUGCAGAUUAUAUUCAUUUUCCCAAGAUAAAUUGCAUUCUUCGAGUGUUGCAUCUUAGUUACUGAUAUGUGAUUCUACAAGAAAUUCAUUCUAAUUGCACUUACCCCUUGUUUCAGGUAGAUUACUGAGUAUUCAAUUUGGAACAAGUGAAUAAUAAGUUUGACAAUUCAUAUCAAACAUUUUAGGGGGUCUUAAAAUCCUAGAGGAACCAAGAAUUCCUCUUGCUUACAUGCAUAGAAGGAAAAAAAUCGAUUGCAGAGUCACAAUCGCACAAAGGAAUGGAUGGAUCAGUACAUCAAUGCCAACUCCAAGUCCACUUCAGGCCAAAGAACAGGGGGGGCAGAAGGAGAAAAAUCCAAAGAGAGGUCCUGAAAAUCAGGAUAGUAGUCGCACCAAACAAAACAUGGAAAAAGAGGAAACUCAACUCCAACAACACCAAGACACUCUACUACAGACACCAAGACAAAGGAAAACAGGUUGUUGUUAGUGACUGACCUCAACAACAUCUCAGAUGACUUAGCUUUUAUUAUUUAAAAUGACAUCUUUGGAGCUAUUAACCAUGAUAGUAUUCAGUCAUUGUUACAUCUUGUACUUCUGAUAAAAACAAAACUUCAACAAAGCAAAUAUUAAAGAGGUUGAAUCCCAAAAAGAGAACAAUAAUGACUAGCAUAGAAUCGAAGGGACCACGCAAAAUCCAGGUAUGACUGCUGAAACUUUUUCUGAUAAUCAGAGUUUGCUUCAGCAAAAAGAGAUGCAUAUGGAUAUAAACUUCCAAAAAUAUCUAGAGUCCUUAACUAGUGAAAUAGAAGAGGGCUGGAAACAUGUGGAAAAGAAGAAAGGAAAAGGGAAAAACAAUGAGAAGGAGACUAACCAGGUGAACCAACAACUAAACACGAUGGAGGAAAAAAAUAUUUGCAUGUUAACAGUAGCAAACAUGAGAGCAACAACAUGUUCAAUCACCUUGCUGUACAGGAGAUGAUGGACUUAAACAUUGACAAUAAUGAUGUAAACGAGAACAAGGAUCACGAGCAAGAAAAUGAACAAAACACAUUGUUUCCUAACAGAAGUACAACAUGGGACAAAGACCGACAAAGUUGUGUUAUCAACUCUUUCCAAAAUUUCCAGCACUAUAUUAUAGCAAAUUGCAGCAGCUAUAUAAACUGAUUCUAUAAACUGAUCCUAUAACCUGUUCAUUGAUUCUAUAACUUGCAGACACAGGAUCCUAGCAGGGAAGCUAGAACCACAACUACACACACAAAUCAGCAACCAAAUUAGGAGAAGACAAAUGAGAUAGGGCAAGACCAACAAUAUCAGCCUAAGGAACAGUCAGGUAAGACACUUAACUCUACUAUUUCUACUCAUAAUAACUAUAAUGAUCUUGUUGUGGAGGAUCAAACCAACAACCAAGAAGAACAAGAAAAAUCUUCACAAUUUGAUACAUCAAUAAAGGAAAUACAUCAACAAACAAAAUAAAGGAUGAUUUGAAUGAAGAACAACUAGACAAAGUUGAGGAAAAUACAGUUGAUAGGUUCCAGAAGAGAGAAAGAGAGAGAAAAUCCUUAAGGAACCAACAAAAUACCUUUUGAAGAACCGAAUCAUGAGUUGACUCUGAAGAAUGUGGAAGAUUUUGGGCCAUCAUUUGAUC